rnacentral:lncRNA from 1 species
AGAAGCAGGGCAGCCCACAGAGACCUGCUCCGAGGGGAGACAUCACCUCCAGAGACUGCAGAAGGGAUAGAGACUCAUCCAAUGCUGCAUUCAUUCAUUCAUUCAUUCAUGCUCCCACUCUAAGUAGAGCUGGAAAUCCUACCAAGAAUAAGCCCCACCUGCGCCACAAGGACAAAAUACACUACUGGAGGAGAUAUUAUCAGGAAGUCAAGGUAAAUAAGGAGGCGGGGCUAAAGCAGAGGCUUAGCUCUGUAGGAGACUCUGGGAUCUUGGAUAUAGCUGCUGCACAGGGGACUCUCCACAGGAGGACAGCGGGGAUCUGACAGAGAAAGAGGCCUCUGCAGGGAUUCCGAAGGAGGCUAGAGGGGUUCCUGGUGGAGAAAUGGCAACAGGUGCCUGCCGGGAAGCCAGAGACUCCAGGAUUUCAG